rnacentral:rRNA from 1 species
CACAGCCAAGGGAACGGGCUUGGCAGAAUCAGCGGGGGAAAGAAGACCCUGUUGAGCUUGACUCUAGUCUGACUUUGUGAAAAUGACUUUGGAGGUGUAGCAUAAGUGGGAGGUUUACGUCGGUCUUGAAAUACCACUACUCUGAACGUUAUUUUACUUAUUUAAUUAAGUAGGACGUACGAGGUUCUCAAAUUUUGAGGCCUGACUUUUAGGGUUUUCAUUCUUUUUUUGUUUUUGUUUUGUUUUUGUGUUUUUCAACACGAUUUUAAAAGAAAAAAAAAAGAAAGACCUAAGAGUUGAAAGAAUUCAAGAGAGAGUUCAAGAUUUUCUUCUUGUUUUCUUCACCUUGUUUUCGGGUCUUCAAAUCAUUUUAUUACUUUUGUUAAAUUCUUGUUUUAAGUAAAAGAAACGACACGUUUCGGGAGCUCUGUUGAAGGGUUACUAGGUUCGACCUGUUAACUUUCUAUCUGAAACUCAACUAAGAGGCGCACGCGGCAUCACCACUACGUGUGUGUGUGUGUCGUCUGGUGCU